GGGGGGAGCAAGCGUUGUUCGGAUUUACUGGGCGUAAAGGGCGCGUAGGCGGUCAGCACAAGUCAGUUGUGAAAUCUCCGGGCUUAACCCGGAAAGGUCAACUGAUACUGUGCGACUAGAGUGCGGAAGGGGCAACUGGAAUUCUUGGUGUAGCGGUGAAAUGCGUAGAUAUCAAGAGGAACACCUGCGGCGAAGGCGGGUCUCUGGACAGUUCCUGACGCUGAGGCACGAAGGCCAGGGGAGCAAACGGGAUUAGAUACCCCGGUAGUCCUGGCAGUAAACGGUGCACGUUUGGUGUGGGAGGAUUCGACCCCUUCUGCGCCGGAGCUAACGCGUUAAACGUGCCGCCUGGGGAGUACGGUCGCAAGAUUA
rnacentral:rRNA from 1 species